rnacentral:tRNA from 1 species
GCGGGCGUAGCUCAGGGGUAGAGCACAACCUUGCCAAGGUUGGGGUCG